rnacentral:rRNA from 1 species
AUUGAACGCUGGUGGCAUGCCUUACACAUGCAAGUCGAACGGCAGCACGGGAGCAAUCCUGGUGGCGAGUGGCGAACGGGUGAGUAAUAUAUCGGAACGUGCCUAGUAGUGGGGGACAACCAUUCGAAAGAGUGGCUAAUACCGCAUACGCACUCUGGUGGAAAGGGGGGGAUCGCAAGACCUCCCGCUAUUAGAGCGGCCGAUAUCAGAUUAGGUAGUUGGUGGGGUAAAGGCCUACCAAGCCUACGAUCUGUAGCUGGUCUGAGAGGACGACAAGCCACACUGGGACUGAGACACGGCCCAGACUCCUACGGGAGGCAGCAGUGGGGAAUUUUGGACAAUGGGCGCAAGCCUGAUCCAGCCAUGCCGCGUGUGGGAAGAAGGCCUUCGGGUUGUAAACCACUUUUGUCAGGGAAGAAACGGCUUCGGUUAAUACCUGGAGCUAAUGACGGUACCUGAAGAAUAAGCACCGGCUAACUACGUGACAGCAGCCGCCGUAA